rnacentral:rRNA from 1 species
UACGGAGGGUGCAAGCGUUAUCCCGAUUUACUGGGUUUAAAGGGUGCGUAGGUGGGCAGGUAAGUCAGUGGUGAAAUCCCCGAGCUUAACUCGGGAACUGCCAUUGAUACUAUCUGUCUUGAAUAUCCUGGAGGUGAGCGGAAUAUGUCAUGUAGCGGUGAAAUGCUUAGAUAUGACAUAGAACACCCAUUGCGAAGGCAGCUCACUACGGGAUUAUUGACACUGAGGCACGAAAGCGUGGGGAUCAAACAGG